rnacentral:misc_RNA from 1 species
GAUGAAGAACGCAGCGAAAUGCGAUAAGUAGUGUGAAUUGCAGAAUUCAGUGAAUCAUCGAAUCAUUGAACGCACAUUGCGCCCCUUGGUAUUCCAUGGGGCAUGCCUGUUCGAGCGUCAUUUGUACCUUCAAGCUCUACUUGGUGUUGGGUGUUUGUCUCGCCUCUGCGUGUAGACUCGCCUCAAAACAAUUGGCAGCCGGCGUAUUGAUUUCGGAGCGCAGUACAUCUCGCGCUUUGCACUCAUAACGACGACGUCCAAAAGUACAUUUUUACACUCUUGACCUCGGAUCAGGUAGGGAUACCCGCUGAACGUAAGCAUAUCAAUAAGCGGAGGA